rnacentral:rRNA from 1 species
UACGAAGGGGGCUAGCGUUGCUCGGAAUUACUGGGCGUAAAGCGCACGUAGGCGGCUUUCUAAGUCGGGGGGUGAAAUCCUGGAGCUUAACUCCAGAACUGCCUUCGAUACUGGAAAGCUCGAGUCCGGGAGAGGUGAGUGGAACUGCGAGUGUAGAGGUGAAAUUCGUAGAUAUUCGCAAGAACACCAGUGGCGAAGGCGGCUCACUGGCCCGGUACUGACGCUGAGGUGCGAAAAGCGUGGGGGAGCAAACAGGG